AUACUUACCAGGUGCGGGGGCCUCGUUUAUCACCAAGGACGAGCCCCCGGGGCGAGGCGCGGGCAGUGCACUGCGCUCGUGUUUACCCCUGCCACUACCCCAAACUGGGGCAGAUGGGGCGUUCAAAUUGC
rnacentral:snRNA from 1 species